GAUGAACGCUAGCGACAGGCUUAACACAUGCAAGUCGAGGGGCAGCGGGAGGAAAGCUUGCUUUCCUUGCCGGCGACCGGCGCACGGGUGAGUAAUACAUAAGUAACCUGCCCUAGACAGGGGGAUAACUGCUGGAAACGGCAGCUAAGACCGCAUAGGUAUGGACACUGCAUGGUGACCAUAUUAAAAGUGCCAAGGCACUGGUAGAGGAUGGACUUAUGGCGCAUUAGCUGGUUGGUGAGGUAACGGCUCACCAAGGCGACGAUGCGUAGCCGACCUGAGAGGGUGACCGGCCACACUGGGACUGAGACACGGCCCAG
rnacentral:rRNA from 1 species